AGCAUGGAAAGCGGACGUUAAACGAUGAUGAUUAUAUAUAUAUACUAGAAUAUUCUUAGUUAAGUGUAACAGAGAUUUUAAGGGAGUAAAAGUGAUCUAGAUUUGCUAGACCCAUAAUGGUUGAAAUUUAAGAAUGCUAUAUUAAAGUUGUAGUUACAUUCAGAAUAUAGAUGUAGUGUGACAGCAUAUAAUGAUGUUACACUGUAACAAGAUGACCUGUUACAAUCCAUAGAGUAUAUAUCGAGACUGCUAACAUUCGAUGUUGUUGUCUCGUUUUUUUCCUUUGUGUUAAUUUUCAGUGAAUAACACAAGACAUUGAAACCAAAUAUUCCACCCAUUCCUCCCUCCCCCCUCGUCCCUUACAUUGAUGCCUAACUGAUAUCUGUUGUCUUUAUUCCCCCACCUCAUCAACAGUGGGGGGUUCCUCUCUCUCUAUCUCUCCCACCCACCCCUCCGAAUAGUCACACAAAGCUACACGGUUCUUACGUUUACUUCGUCUGCCAUUUGUCGACUCAACCAAAGUGACUAAAAGUUUUGGACAUAGCAGACGGUAUUUUGACAAUCAUAUAAAGUGUCUUUCUCUCUAGAAACAAUGGUGCCACGGAAACUUUGGAAGUUUCCGUGGAGUAUCUUUGGAUGUAAUAUUUAAAGAAAAAAACCAAAAAUAAAAAUCAUAUUUAUUUUUAAUUUAUAUUUUUUAUUUAAUCAUUGUGAGUGCCAUAGUGUGGCGAACCAUUCUCUGCAAAACUGAGUCCAUGAUCCAGUUCCAAUUCCUGACUGGAACGACCUCACUUUGUUUAAUGCCUUUCGGAAAGGCAUGAAUGUCACAAAAUCCAGUUAUCCUUCACCUGGAUGUUUUAUGCCUAUGUAAAAAAUAUUUUUUAAUAGAAAUGCUAUUCUCUCUCUCUCUCUCUCUCUCUCUCUCUCUCUCUCAUUUUUUUUUUUUUAGUCCUCAAUGUCUGUACCAACAACCAUGGGAAUCUAAUCUCCCUGGCAUCUCUUGCUUUGAUCUGGAUCAGCAGAAUAAAACAAACAACUCUUGUAUAAAGUUCUCAUACACACACACACAUACACACCACAUUUGUCAGAUUAAUAUUUAUUCUCCUAAGAUUCCGAUUUCAAUCAUAAAAGGAUGCAAAAAAGAAAAAAAAAAAAUUGUGAUAUUAAAACUAUUUCUUUUAUUUUUUUAUAUUUUCUCUCCCUAUUCCUUGGUAAUUCCUGUCUUAUCUACAUAGAAUGCCUGGUCUUCUACACACAAUAGAAUUCUGUGUAUGUAAGACAAUCGUUCAUCCCAGAAUAUCUCUCCAUUCAUUAUGUUACUUGUCCUUCUUUCAUCUCUACCUUGUUUUGAUGUCUAUCCCUUAGACAGUAGCUACAUAUGUAUUGUUUAGCCCUAGGUCAGUCCUGAUCGAGUAGACCUAUGAUUAAAGCUGUGACCAUCUUGUCUUUAGUUUCCAUUUUUUUAAUUUCCAAGCGUAGUGUAUCUGCGACUACAUUAUUCGGUGUGUUCUUUCUAAGUUUGUGAUCUGAGGGAGAUUUAUGAGUUAUUUCUUGCAGGUUGAGCAACACAAGAGGCUCUGUCAUUGGAUCAUGCAUGUGUGUGUGGAUGAGAGAGUGAAUGAUGAUAGAUGGAUAAUAAUAAUAAUAAUACUGGGUUGAAUACUUUCCGAUAUCAGAUUUGGUGCCUUAGAAUUUAGGUUAAAUUUGCUAGUCAUCUCACCCCCCUGGCAUCAACAAAACACGAAGGCUGAAAGGGUUUUGACCUAAGGAGCCUCGUUAAGGCAACCACCACCUGUUGUCGCUUGCAUCUUUGGUUCUCUCAGCAGCCAAGAUGAUCUCAGAUGUGCGCUUGCUGUGCAUGUUUCUGGCGCAUACAAGUAAGUGAUGCCUGAAGAUAGAUUACGACAUCUGAGCAAAGUGGAAUAUUCAUUAACCCCCUCCCCCACUCCCCCAAAUAAUUAAAAAGGUGGGGAGUGGUGGUCGUGGAACUUCCUUGUGAUUGCACUGCAAACAUCGUGGUGUGUGGAUUGUCUUAUCUGAUAAUUAGUCAUGUAUAAAGUAAAAUGGGGAUUCUCCAAUGUUGCCAAUUCGUGCUCUCUGCUGUUCCCUAAUUUUUUUGUUUGUUUUCUUUUCUUCCCCCCUUUCCCCCCAUCCCUGUCACUCCCCAGCUCUACAAACAUUCAUUUUGAACUGAACUUUUUCCCUAUCAUUGCAUAUCUUCUCUCAGAACAAUAUUUAGUUCCCAGCUUGUCAGUUAGUGUCUAUGUGUGCACAUGUGUGCAUCCAUCCAUGCAUGCACAUAUACACACAUACACACACACACAUACAUAUAUAUAUUUACAACUGAUAUCUAUUCUCUCAUGAUGUCCUGUUAAAAUUAA
rnacentral:lncRNA from 1 species